AUUCUCUGGUUUCUCUUCAGAUCAUACAGAUCUUUCGUCUUUUACCAAAGAUUUCCAUGGAGAAGAAGUUAUGAGUUUUUAAUCAGUGCCAAAGAUGUACUGU
rnacentral:snRNA from 1 species